rnacentral:lncRNA from 1 species
GUUAGAUAUGUUGAUAUGCUAACCUAAUUUAAUUAGUCGAAUGUCAAAUCUACUGAUUUAGAAGAGAUCUAAACAUAAAUCUCUUCACUAAAUAUUAAGUCUAGAUGUCUUCCAUCAUUGUAGAAAUGCAGAUGCCUUCCUGAUGUUGAUCAAUCUCAACUGGUUACAGUGAUUCGGUUACAUCGAAAAGGUAUAACCAC